rnacentral:lncRNA from 1 species
UGUGUACGUCUUCUUGGCUUGCCAUGUGUGAUAGUCGUAAAUGAGCUUCACUGUUAUACAAGCUGUGUUAUUCAUUUCCAAUAUUCUGCCAAAACAUGCUUGGCCAUGGGGGAAUAUUUCCUUGUUUGGAAGCAGGUUAGCAUUAGCAAAGGAAGGAA